rnacentral:rRNA from 1 species
UACGUAGGGGGCAAGCGUUGUCCGGAUUUAUUGGGCGUAAAGAGCGUGUAGGCGGCCAGAUAGGUCCGUUGUGAAAACUGGAGGCUUAACCUCCAGCUGUCGAUGGAAACCAUCUGGCUAGAGUCCGGAAGAGGAGAGUGGAAUUCCUGGUGUAGCGGUGAAAUGCGCAGAUAUCAGGAAGAACACCCGUGGCGAAGGCGGCUCUCUGGGACGGUACUGACGCUAAGGCGCGAAAGCGUGGGGAGCGAACAGG